AGCAGCCGCGGUAAUUCCAGCUCCAAUAGCGUAUAUUAAAGUUGUUGCAGUUAAAAGGCUCGUAGUUGAAUUUCGGGAUCAGUUGGUCGGUCGUGCCUCGGUACGUACUGGUCAAAUUGAUUCCUACCUUCUGACGAACCACGAUGUCAUUAAUUUGGUGUCGCGGGAAAUCAGGACUGUUACCUUGAAAAAAUUAGAGUGUUUAAAGCAGGCUCGCGCUUGAAUACAUUAGCAUGGAAUAAUGAAAUAGGACGUUUGAUUCUAUUUUGUUGGUUUCUAGGAUCGACGUAAUGAUUAAUAGGGAUAGUUGGGGGCAUUAGUAUUCAAUUGUCAGAGGUGAAAUUCUUGGAUUUAUUGAAGACUAACUACUUGCGAAAGCAUUUGCCAAGGAUGUUUUCAUUAAUCAAGAACGAAAGUUAGGGGAUCGAAGACGAUCAGAUACCGUCGUAGUCUUAACCAUAAACUAUGCCGACUAGGGAUCGGAUGAUGUUAAUUUUUUAAUGACUCAUUCGGCGCCUUA
rnacentral:rRNA from 1 species